CGGUGAGGUGAUGGUAUACCAUCUUUCGGGACUGACCACGUCUUGGAGAGAACGUUUAACUGUGCUGAUCACGC
ensembl:snoRNA small nucleolar RNA SNORD2